UGUUGUGAAACGAUGUCUCCUCUGAAGAGACACCUCUUCAUCAUCUAAUCGGUGAUCUCAUCUGGUGAUAGGAUUAGCAGUUAGCCUAGCAGUUAGCAUGCCAUCCGAAGGGGCAUGUCCUUUGGCCAAGAGCAGUUGCUCUUCCUGUACUCAAACACCAAGGAGUCACGUCCGUACGACGUGAUCUCUCACUUGUAUAUAAUCUAACAAGAUCAAUGAAAGCAGCAGUUGUUCACUGUUCAUUUACAUUCACUCUUAACACGUUAUCAGACACGUUGCUCUACGAGAACAGACAGAGGAACAGAAAGACGACGCCCAAACAGAGGCAUUUACAUGUCUCUGAACCCCCAUCGUUUCUACGGGGGUCGAUCUGAUGGAAGAGGAAUUAUGCCUAAUGGACAGCGGUACCACUAAUUCUAUUCUUAGGGAAACAAAAUAUUUUCAAACUCUUACUAAAAGACAAGGAAAUGUUUUGACAAUCGCUGGGCGCGAUGCUACGAUAAUUGGUUCAGGUCGUGCCAUUAUCGUACUCCCUAUGGGUACCCAAAUUACAAUUGAGGAUGCAUUAUUAUAUCCCGAUUCAAAGCGUACCUUAUUAAGUUAUAGAGAUAUCCGUCAAAAUGGUUUCCAUAUAGAAACCCUUGAUGACAAUAAUGAGGAAAUUCUCCUUGUUACUAAAAACAAUGGAUAUGGCAAACAAAUUGUUGAGAAAAUUCCCUCUUUCCCAUCCGGAUUGUACUACACAUACAUCAAACCCGUAUCACAUGUUGCGUACAAGGUAAUUUUCCAGAAUGUUGAUGCAUUCAAAACUUGGCAUGAUCGCCUUGGUCAUCCUGGUAUAGGGAUGAUGCGGAAAAUUAUCAACAAUUCAAAUGGUCAUGAGUUAAAUACUGCUAAAUUUCCGAAAUAUUCAGAUUUUAUGUGCACUUCAUGCGCUACAGGAAAAUUGAUCUUGCGUCCAUCGCCCGUCAAGAUCCAAAAUGAGCCACUAAAAUUUCUUGAACGCAUUCAAGGAGAUAUUUGUGGCUCUAUACAACCAACAUCUGGACCGUUCAGGUAUUUCAUGGUUCUAAUAGACGCAUCUACUAGAUGGUCUCAUGUGUGUCUUUUGUCCACACGUAAUCAUGCUUUCGCAAAAAUUAUUGCUCAAGUUAUUAAACUUAGAGCACAUAAUCCUAAACAUCAAAUUCAAUCAAUUCGAAUGGACAAUGCUGCUGAAUUUUCCUCAAAGGCUUUCAAUGAUUAUUGUAUGGCCUUAGGAAUUCAAGUUCAACACUCGGUCCCAUAUGUCCAUACACAAAAUGGUUUAGCAGAAUCUCUUAUUAAAAGAAUUAAACUCAUUGCAAGACCACUACUACAAAAUUGCAAUCUACCAACUUCAUGUUGGGGUCAUGCAGUCUUACACGCUGCUGACUUAAUUCAAUUGCGUCCAACUGCAUACCAUGUUGUCUCCCCAUUGCAAUUAGUACGUGGGAAUAUGCCAAAUAUUUCCCAUCUGCGAAAAUUUGGUUGCGCUGUAUACGUACCGAUCUCACUACCUAAGCGUACCUCUAUGGGUCCACAUAGGAAACUUGGUAUCUAUGUGGGAUAUCAAUCCCCAUCGAUUAUCAAAUACCUCGAGCCUCUUACAGGGGACUUAUUCACGGCCCGGUAUGCUGACUGCAUAUUCAAUGAGGACCAUUUCCCAGCAUUAGGGGGAGAUUUCAAGUACCAAAGUGAAUGCCAGGAAAUCAACUGGAAUGCCCAAGGCAAUUCCCCCUCAGAUCCACGUACUCAAGAAACUGAACAACAAGUUCAGAAAAUCAUAAACUUGCAACAUAUUGCAAAUAACCUGCCAGAAGCAUUUACUGAUUAUAAGGGUGUCACUAAAUCCUCUUAUCCUGCUCGCAAUGCGCCCGAAAGAGUGGAGGUACCAAUAAAAACCAUUCAACUCCCACUUCCAAAGAAGAGGGGGAGAAGUACGGCCGCUCCUAAGGAUAAUGCUCCAAGUAAGCGUCUGAGGAAAUCGAGAGCUAAAUCCUCCAAAUCAUUAAAUCCAAGCCAACCUCAAGUUGGUAGACACCUAAUAGUGGAUAAAAAUCCAACACCAGGACCAAAUCCACAACCCGGAUCAACGGUGCAUCCAAAUUCUGAUCCUGGGACAUCGGAACACCCUGACUCCAUAGUUUUGGGAAAUGUUGAGUCAAAUAAUGGGGUGAAAGAAAUUUCCAUCAAUUAUAUUGAUUCUGGAGAAUCAUACGAUCGUAAGACUACUGUUGUAGACAUGUAUUUCUCCGCAGCAAUUGCAGAAAUCUUUCUCAAUGAUCCAGAUCCUAAGACCAUGGCAGAGUGCAAAAAGCGCUCAGACUGGGCUCAAUGGAAAGAAGCAAUUCAAGCUGAGAUAGCCUCGCUCACUAAAAGAGGGGUAUUCACAAAAGCUAUGCCCACACCCUCCAAAGUCUUUCCUAUAGGCUUUAAAUGGGUUUUCGUCCGGAAACGGAAUGAGAACAAUGAGGUGGUGAGAUAUAAAGCAAGGCUCGUAGCACAAGGGUUCACGCAGAGACCCGGCAUUGAUUAUAAUGAAACUUAUUCUCCAGUAAUGAGUGGAAUUACUUUCCGAUACUUAAUAUCAUUGGCAGUUCAAAAUCAUCUAUCUAUGCAGUUGAUGGAUGUGGUGACAGCAUAUUUAUAUGGGUCACUUGAUUCGGACAUAUAUAUGAAGGUUCCCGAUGGAAUCCAAAUUCCGAAUCCAAACGCAAAUCGUAACAUGUAUUGUGUAAAACUACAAAAGUCAUUAUAUGGCUUGAAGCAGUCGGGACGAAUGUGGUACAACCGACUGAGUGAAUUCCUUUUAAACAAAGGAUACACCAAUAAUGAUGAUUGCCCAUGUGUUUUCAUUAAGAAAUCUCAAACGGGAUUUUGUAUUAUAUCUGUAUAUGUUGAUGAUUUAAAUAUCAUUGGCAGUCCAAAUGAUAUAGAAGAAGCACGCAAACAUCUAACGACGGAAUUCGAGAUGAAGGAUUUGGGAAAGACCAAAUAUUGCCUAGGUUUACAAAUUGAGCACCGUCCUUUAGGGAUUUUAGUGCAUCAAUCAGCCUAUAUCCAGAAAAUAUUGGAGAAAUUCAAUAUGGAUAAAUCAUACCCUAAUAAAACCCCGAUGGUUGUUCGUUCCUUAGAAUUAGGGAAAGAUCCAUUUAGACCACGGGAUGUUGGGGAGAAGACGUUGGGACCAGAAAUCCCAUAUCUCAGUGUUAUUGGCGCACUUAUGUAUCUUGCAAAUUGCACCAGGCCUGAUAUCGCAUUUGCAGUGAACUUACUAGCUAGGCAUAGUGCGGACCCGACUCACCGUCAUUGGACGGGAGCAAAGUGUAUCCUCAGAUACCUUAAUGGCACAAAGGAUCUUGGUUUAUUCUUCAAAAAAAAUCAUGAUUCCAGUAUGAUUGGCUAUACAGAUGCUGGUUACUUAUCUGAUCCUCAUAACGGAAAAUCCCAAACAGGAUUUGUAUUCCUACAUGGAGGUACAGCUAUUUCAUGGAAGUCUUCUAAGCAGACUCUAACAGCCACCUCUACUAAUCAUUCUGAAAUUAUUGCUUUAUACGAGGCAUCACGAGAAUGUGUGUGGCUUCGCAGAAUGAUUAACCACAUACAACAGACAUGUGGUAUUGGUUCAAUUGAAUCACCAACAAUUAUCUAUGAAGAUAAUUCCGCUUGUGUUACACAGAUGCAAACAGGUUACAUAAAGAGCAAUAUCACUAAGCAUAUUGUUCCUAAAUUGUUUUAUCCCCAUGAAUUACAAGAAAGUGGGGAAAUAAACAUCUUGCAAAUCAAGUCAUGUGAUAAUCUCGCUGACCUAUUUACUAAGUCCUUACCAACUUCUGUGUUUCAAAAAUUGGUACAUGGAAUUGGUAUGAGGCGACUUCGAGAUUUGCCAGAAUCAGGGGGAGACAUCUCCUAGAUGCCACCUGUACCAGCAUCAUAUUAUACUCUUUUCUUUCACAAGUUUUACUCAAAAGGUUUCUUGUUAAAGUUUUUAAUGAGGUAAUAUUAACAUAAGCAUGUGUUAUAUUUUCUAUUUUCCCCACCGGGGUUUUUGUGGGAAAUAUCAAAGACACAUAUUGCCCUCCCAACUCAUCCAUGGUUUUUCCUUGAAAAAGGUUUUUCAUGAGAGUUAUUUCAAGAGGCAAUACUUAUAGUAUGUCGUCAUAUUUUUCUCCUGAUUUUCCUACUGGGUUUUUAUAGGAGUUUUAGCGACAUAUCUCUUAAUAUGGCUCCUCACAUUUUUCCUAAACGGUUUUUUAGAGGAGUUAUCUUUAUGUCAUAUCUCCAAUAUUUUUCCCCACUAGGGUUUUUAAUUGGAAUACCAAUGACAUAGUGGUUUGUUUAAAUCACACAAAUAUAUGCUACCUUCUCCUUGUUUUCCUAUAAAGGUUUAAAGGAGUUUUACAGCAUAUCCAUACAUACAUAUUCCUCAGAUUUUUCCCACAGGGUUUUUCGAGGAAUCCAAGAUUACAGCUACAUUGAUCUUAAGAAUGAUUCGAUCAAGGGGGAGUGUUGUGAAACGAUGUCUCCUCUGAAGAGACACCUCUUCAUCAUCUAAUCGGUGAUCUCAUCUGGUGAUAGGAUUAGCAGUUAGCCUAGCAGUUAGCAUGCCAUCCGAAGGGGCAUGUCCUUUGGCCAAGAGCAGUUGCUCUUCCUGUACUCAAACACCAAGGAGUCACGUCCGUACGACGUGAUCUCUCACUUGUAUAUAAUCUAACAAGAUCAAUGAAAGCAGCAGUUGUUCACUGUUC
rnacentral:lncRNA from 1 species